CAUAUAUAUUUCUAAUCGGGGGAUAUUUGUCUUACCCUUGUUUACUUUACAAUCCUUAUACUAGUAAUCAAAUGAAAACCUCCUACCAUUUAAAAACGAAAUGAUAGGUUUGUGGAGCCUGCGGUGUGCUCUGUAACAUCCUUAUUUGCGCUGUUGUUAGGCAUAGCAGAACUAAAGAGCGCCUACCUGUGGAGUAGAGAAUUCCUAGACUCGAGCUGACAGACUCUGCCACAAUGCUGGCAAUAGUAAAUGGGAAAGUGUAAAGAGUAUAGCAACUUUGACAAGGACCAAAUUGUGAUGGUAAGAAGACUGGACCAGAGCAUCUUCCAAAAAGCAGGCUUUGUGGGGUGUUACUGAUGCUGAAUAUACAGUUCUUCAGUUAAUUCUUAUGAGGGUGAACUUAGAGGAAGAAAAGAUUCAGAUUGGACGCUGGGUCCUCAUAAAAGUGAUCAAGAAACCCUGGCAUUCACCUAAGUAGGAGGGUCCCUACCAAGUCCUACUAACCACCUCUACGGCAAUAAGGAUAGCUGAGAGGAACACCUGGAUCCAUCAGUCUCACUGUAAAAAGGUUCUGCAGGCAGAGCAGGGAGAGAAGGCUGAGGGGCUCCAAUAAGACCAGCUACAAAGGGAGUUUCUGAAUGAGGUAGAAACUGUCUCGAACCGGUGAAGCCUACAAUACACUCAACCUUGGAGCUCCUCAGCUGGAUAGGGAUAAUACUUGUGGCGAGUCUGGUGGGAACUUCAGGAAUCUUCAGGAUAAUCUCCAACCUUUACCAUAAGCCCCAUGAUCAGACACAACUAAGACUGGGUGGCUGUAGGUAGACCUCUCAAUUUGACAUUCUCGGAGGGAACCAGCAGCACAAUACUAGAUCUGUGCCAGUUGAUAGAG